GAACCUCGGGAGGGGUAACCCUUCCGAGGGGAGAGCGGCGAACGGGUGAGUAACACGUGGGCAACCUGCCCCGGACACCGGGAUAACUCAGGGAAACCUGGGCUAAUACCGGAUACCUCGGCGUGAUCGCAUGGUCGUGCCGGGAAAGCUCCGACGGUCCGGGAUGGGCCCGCGGCCUAUCAGCUUGUUGGUGGGGUAACGGCCUACCAAGGCGGCGACGGGUAGCUGGUCUGAGAGGACGGCCAGCCACACUGGGACUGAGACACGGCCCAGACUCCUACGGGAGGCAGCAGUAGGGAAUCUUGCGCUAAUGCGCGAAAGCGUGACGCAGCGACGCCGCGUGCGGGAUGAAGGCCCUCGGGUCGUAAACCGCUUUCGGCAGGGACGAAGCGAAAGUGACGGUACCUGCAGAAGAAGUCCCGGCUAACUACGUGCCAGCAGCCGCGGUAACACGUAGGGGACGAGCGUUGUCCGGAUUCAUUGGGCGUAAAGAGCGCGUAGGCGGCUCGGAAAGUCGGUCGUGAAAUCCUGGGGCUCAACCCCGGAACUGCGUCCGAUACUUCCGAGCUGGAGGCAGGUAGGGGAGAUCGGAAUUCCUGGUGUAGCGGUGAAAUGCGCAGAUAUCAGGAGGAACACCGGUGGCGAAGGCGGAUCUCUGGGCCUUGCCUGACGCUGAGGCGCGAAAGCUAGGGGAGCGAACAGGAUUAGAUACCCUGGUAGUCCUAGCCGUAAACGUUGGGUGCUAGGUGUGGGCGGAUAUCGACCCCGUCCGUGCCGAAGCUAACGCAUUAAGCACCCCGCCUGGGGAGUACGGCCGCAAGGCUAAAACUCAAAGGAAUUGACGGGGGCCCGCACAAGCGGCGGAGCAUGCGGCUUAAUUCGAUGCGACGCGAAGAACC
rnacentral:rRNA from 1 species